GCGUUGAUGGUGUAAUGGUUAGCAUUGCUGCCUUCCAAGCAGUAGAUCUGGGUUCGAUUCCCGGUCAAACGCA
rnacentral:tRNA from 1 species